AUUUAAAUAGCUUAAAAUUAAAGCAUAAUAUUGAAGUUAUUAAAAUAACAUUAUAUGUUUUUAAAUA
rnacentral:tRNA from 1 species